ensembl:lncRNA
CUCCUCCUUUUUGUGGGUUUGAUGUGUCCUUUUACAAAAUGACCAUUAAAAACAUGCCUUUCAUUUAUAAAACUUUAGGGUUAUGUUUAGCACGUUGAGCAGUAGCAUGUUAUUGGUAUCAUAUUUUUUUUUUUUUUUUUUAAAUGCAUUAUUAGUAUUAAUAUUAGAUUUCCAUAAAUGUUUAUUUUGGUCUGAUACAGCUAAUAGUCAUGUGAUGCUAUGAAACUUUUCGUCUAGAGUGGAAAAAGGAUGGGGUUUCAAGUUUUGACUUACAUUUGGACAUCUACGCAUCUUUAAUAUGAGACUUUUCUAUGUUCUUCUACUUUUGAGCUUUGUUUGCUCUCAGGUCACCAGCUCUGAUGCUGGGACAUGUGAGACAGGUUAUUGCAAUGGAAACAUUUACAUUCCUAUCAUCGUAAUUCUCUGUAAUGCAUUACUGCUUUCUUUCGCUGUAAAUAUCUACUUUAUUUGCAUGACAAGAUACAGAGACUCGUGCCAGAACUUUUACAAUAAUUAUAUUGCUGUUUGGUGUAGUGGAACCGCAACUGAGGCUGAGCAAUCAGAUGACCUGGUUCCAAAUGACACACAAUACUCUUCCAGUGAGAAAAGGGAGUGUGAGGAACAGUCAGAAGUGAAACCCAUUGAGUGUGUGUACUCUGCUGUGAAACGUUAAAAAAAGAGGAGACCUCAUCAUAAACAUAUGCUAAAAUUGGUGAUAUAUUCUGCUUUUUUCCCCCUCUCUCUCUCUCUCAAUUUUCAUUAAGUCUAUCUGUAAUGUAUAGUUUUAUAAUAAACAGAUUAAACUUUUUUGGUUUCCA